AGAGUUUGAUCCUGGCUCAGAAUGAACGCUGGCGGCGUGCUUAACACAUGCAAGUCGCACGAGAACGCUUUAGCUUGCUAAAGCCAGUAAAGUGGCGCACGGGUGAGUAACGCGUGGGUAAUCUACCCUUGAAUCCGGGAUAACGUUGCGAAAGCGACGCUAAUACCGAAUGACAUCAUUUAAGCCUUGGCUUUUAUGAUCAAAGGUGGCCUCUAUAUAUAAGCUACUGUUUGAGGAUGAGCCCGCGUACCAUUAGCUAGUUGGUAGGGUAAUGGCCUACCAAGGCUACGAUGGUUAGCUGGUCUGAGAGGAUGAUCAGCCACACUGGAACUGACACACGGUCCAGACUCCUACGGGAGGCAGCAGUGAGGAAUUUUGCGCAAUGGGGGAAACCCUGACGCAGCAACGCCGCGUGAGUGAUGAAGGCUUUCGGGUCGUAAAGCUCUGUCAAGUGGGAAGAAAAUAUAUAAGGUUAAUACCCUUAUGUACUGACGGUACCACUGAAGGAAGCACCGGCUAACUCCGUGCCAGCAGCCGCGGUAAUACGGGGGGUGCAAGCGUUAUUCGGAAUCAUUGGGCGUAAAGAGCACGUAGGCGGUUUUUUUAGUCAGAUGUGAAAGCCCGGGGCUUAACCCCGGAAGUGCAUUUGAUACUGGGAAACUUGAGUAUGGGAGAGGGAAGUGGA
rnacentral:rRNA from 1 species